rnacentral:rRNA from 1 species
UACGUAGGGUGCGAGCGUUAAUCGGAAUUACUGGGCGUAAAGCGUGCGCAGGCGGUUCGUUGUGUCGGCGGUGAAAGCCCCGGGCUUAACCUGGGAAUGGCCGUUGAAACUGGCGAACUGGAGUGUGGCAGAGGGGGGUGGAAUUCCGCGUGUAGCAGUGAAAUGCGUAGAGAUGCGGAGGAACACCGGUGGCGAAGGCGGCUCACUGGCUCGUAACUGACGCUCAUGCACGACAGCGUGGGGAUCAAACAGG